rnacentral:rRNA from 1 species
GAUGAACGCUAGCGGCAGGCUUAAUACAUGCAAGUCAAGGGGUCAGCAAUGGCACCGGCGGACGGGUGAGUAACGCGUACACAACGUACCUUUAACUGGGGGAUAGCAUCUGGAAACGGGUGGUAAUACCGCAUGUGGUUGCGAGGAGGCAUCUCUUUGUAACUAAAACUUAGGUGGUUAGAGAUCGGUGUGCGUCUGAUUAGCUAGUUGGUAGGGUAGAGGCCUACCAAGGCGACGAUCAGUAGGGGGCGUGAGAGCGUGAACCCCCACACGGGUACUGAGACACGGACCCGACUCCUACGGGAGGCAGCAGUAAGGAAUAUUGGUCAAUGGAGGGAACUCUGAACCAGCCAUGCCGCGUGAAGGAAGAAGGCGCUACGCGUUGUAAACUUCUUUGGGUGGGACGAAAAUAAUCCAUUUAUUGGAUAGCUGACGGUACCAUCAGAAUAAAGCACCGGCUAACUCCGUGCCAGCAGCCGCGGUAAAAGCUACGUAGA